AAUUUAAAUAGUUUAAUAAAAAUAUUGAUUUGUGGUAUCAAUGAUAAGAUAAUUCUUUUUAAAUU
rnacentral:tRNA from 1 species